rnacentral:rRNA from 1 species
UACGUAGGGGGCUAGCGUUGUCCGGAAUCAUUGGGCGUAAAGCGCGUGUAGGCGGUCCGGUAAGUCCGCUGUGAAAGUCGGGGGCUCAACCCUCGAAUGCCGGUGGAUACUGUCGGGCUAGAGUGCGGAAGAGGCGAGUGGAAUUCCUGGUGUAGCGGUGGAAUGCGUAGAGAUCGGGAAGAAUACCAGUGGCGAAGGCGUUCUGCUGGGCCGUUGCUGACACUGAGGCGCGACAGCGUGGGGAGCAAACAGG